rnacentral:lncRNA from 1 species
UUCCAUAUUCUCGGCAUCCUGUAAAAUAGUUCAUGAACAGUAAUAAUUGUUCUGCAUUAAAAGAAAAGAAAGUUGCACUCUUGAUUUUAACUUUUUUUUGGCCACACAAAACUGAUUUUACAAAACAUUCUACCUCGGAAAUAAUGGAUUUCGCUUGAUUAUGAUUAGACCAAAGGUUUAUAUUUUGUAAUCACUUGUAUGGUGGGCAAG